GUCGCGGGCGGAGGGGGGCGGGGCUCGCGGGACGUGCUGCCGCGUCGGCACCAGCUGAAUGGGCGGCGGCGGAGCAUGUGUGUGCCGCUGAGGCUGCCGCUCGCCCGGGACGCGGAGAGUGCAUGCCUCUCCCGGGCCAGACGGUGAAGCCGGAGAGGACGUGGAGGCAGCGGCGGAGGGGAAGAGCGGCGGGAGACAGGCUGGGCAUCCCUCUCGGGGGCUGGAGGGCCCCGGCUUGGCGGGGGUUAUGGCAUCGCUUGCGGACCGAAUGCGAGGCAACGGGCGCAUCGCCGCUGGGCUCCUGCUCAACCUACUGGUGUCCAUCUGCAUCGUGUUCCUCAACAAAUGGAUCUAUGUGCACCACGGCUUCCCUAACAUGAGCCUGACCCUGGUGCACUUCGUGGUCACCUGGCUGGGCUUGUACAUCUGCCAGAAGCUGGACAUCUUUGCCCCCAAAAGUCUACCGCCUUCCAAACUCCUCCUCCUGGCCCUCAGCUUCUGCGGCUUCGUAGUCUUCACCAAUCUCUCUCUGCAGAACAACACCAUAGGCACCUAUCAGCUGGCCAAGGCCAUGACCACGCCGGUCAUCAUAGUCAUCCAGACCCUCUGCUACAAGAAAACCUUCUCUACCAAAAUACAGCUCACGCUGAUUCCUAUAACUUUAGGUGUAAUCCUAAAUUCUUAUUACGAUGUGAAGUUUAAUUUCCUUGGAAUGGUGUUUGCCGCUCUUGGUGUUUUAGUUACAUCCCUUUAUCAAGUGAGAGGAAUGAGAGCAAGCUCAGCCUUGUGCUUUAAGAAGAUUGUACUUAGAUGUACUUCAUGGGUAGGAGCCAAACAGCAUGAAUUGCAAGUGAACUCGAUGCAGCUGUUGUACUACCAGGCCCCAAUGUCCUCCGCCAUGUUGCUGGUCGCCGUGCCCAUCUUUGAGCCAGUGUUUGGAGAAGGAGGAAUAUUUGGCCCCUGGUCAGUGUCCGCAUUGCUUAUGGUGCUGCUCUCUGGAGGAAUAGCUUUCAUGGUGAACUUAUCGAUUUAUUGGAUCAUUGGGAACACGUCACCAGUCACGUAUCCUUUUCCUAGUAACUCACAAAUGCAUAGUCUUUUACAUUUUCCCAAACUCUGUCACAUUCAUUUCCUUCUGGAGUCUUGUGCUUACAAUUACGUGGCCUACAUUGAGUAGCUAGACUUGUUUUCAGUCUUUUCCUGUAUCUUUCCACACUAGACUCUAUGGAAACUUAAAGAAAGGUGAGCCAGGGAAAUGGGUUAGUUUUCUGUCUCAUGAAGACUUUUUUAUUUUCUUAUGCGGUAAGUGACCUUUUUCCCUUAUCAAAAUCAACAUAGAACACCAAGCCUGGUACAUAGUUAAAUUAAAUAAGUACUUGUUGAGUGGAUAACGGAGUGGACGCCACGGUUUUUAGUCAUUUUGCAGUCCCUAUAGUAAUAAAGUACCGGUACAGCCAGUCCAAAAACAAAGGGUAACUUCGGACCAUUGACAUCUGACUUUUGAACAUGUUUCUGUGCGUAUUUGGGUACGGGUGUGUCUGUAUUUUUCAGUAUUACUUCCAAUCAGGAAAUGAAAUCAGGCCUUAGAGGUCUGAAUCAUUUUUAACAUUUUGCUUGUCAUUCUGUUUCUCUUCUCGUUUCACUCCAUCUCUACUCUUAAGCAAAGGCAAAGAAGGAUUUCCCCAAAUCAGAGAGGUAGUUUGGAAACAUUGAAUCCAAGUGUGCUGAUUUAUUUAAAUGAGUGAGCACUGAGAUGUCAGCAAAGUAAAAAAGCAGCCUAUUUGCCAACUAUCAAUAAAUACCAACAACAGUUAUAAUAAAAGUAAUUUUUCUAAAAAAACCCCAACACUUAAUAAAUGUUUAUUUUGCACCAGGCACGUUGGAAAGAAACACUUCGGGUAUAUUAGGCAUCAGACUCUCAAAGCAGCUCCGUGAGGUAAAUUCUAUCACUGUAUUUUGCAGAACAGGAAGCAGAGGUGCAGAGAGGUUAAGUAACACGCUUACGGUCCUAUAGCUGAGAAGUGUGGUGUCCAGAUUUGAACCCACGCGUUCUAGUCCCAGACCUUUUACACCACGCUGCCGAAUCAAGGCAUCCAGUGAUGUGCCCUGAUUAAGAACAUUCGUUCAACAAAUAUUUAUUGAACCCCCACUAUAAACCAUGCAUUGACUUAAUAGGUGCUUACAUGAUGAGUAUCUACCAUAUGUUGGGCCCUGGAGAUACAGUAGUGAGCAAAAAUGCUUGCUCUCCCAGGUUUCAAUUCUGGUGAGGGAGACUAUAAACAAGAAAAAAAAUUGAAGUAUACAUAUACAGUGUGAGGUAGUGUGAAGUGCCAAGGAGAAAAAGGAAAGCAGGAAAGAGGACCUGAAAUGUUGGCGGCCGGGUUGAAACUUUAGAGGGGGCAGUCAGGAAGGCUACUUCUGCGUGAAGACCUGGUGGAAAAGAAGUCGCCCCAUGCAGAUUGGGAUGAAGAGCGUUCCCUGCAGAGGGAGCAGCGGGGAGGCCCUGAUGAGCACCCAGGAAGCCUCAUGGUUGCAGCAGGGAGAUGACAGGUGGAGAAUAGUAAGGCUCUGAGCGGAACAGGGCGCCGGGCUGAGCAGAGCUUGUACCUGAGUGAGAUGGGAAGCCGUUGGCACUUGGGGCGGGGAAAUGACGUGGUUUUACCUAUGUUCUAAUGGGAUCACUCUGGGCUACUGAGUUGAGAGUAGACUGAAGCAGGGUGUUUCAGCCUCAGUGCUGUUGACCUUGUGGGUUGGACAGUUCUCAUUUGCAGAGGCCGGUCCUGUGCACCGUAGGAUGUUUAGCAGCAUCCUGGCUUCUACCCACUAGAUGCCAGUAGCGCCCCUUUUUCCCAGUUACGACGGCCGGAAAGGUGUCCAGACGUUUUUGGUGACAAAAUCAGUCCGGUUGAGAAGCACUGCACUACAAGAGGCAAGAGAAGAAGGGACCCUGGAGAAAGGAUGGUGGUUUGGUACCAGGAUUGGAGCCUGGAUGAUCUUCCCACUGAAAAGGAAAUCCCUGGGGGAAAUGACCAGGCCCAACCACAGAAACAAACCAGAAACAGUGCUGUGGAUGAACACCCACUGUCCUUUUGUUACAGAUGUAACUGUACUGGUUUUUAAUUCUAUG